UUUGAAGAAAUACCAGAUCACAGUUGGAGACAGUGCCCUUUGCCCUUUAUUGCAGCAGUGCAUGGCACAACCUUUCCAAAUUGGACACAGACCUCCAAAUUCUCAGGAUUUAAAAAAUACUGGAAGUCACAUGGGCUUAACUGGCCUUUACUUGCCUUCUGGCUCCUGAGCUGUUAAGAUUUACAUGCAACUCAUUCUCUCUCCACAGCAUUGCUCCAAACACCAUAAGGUAUCAGCACGGAUGGAACAGCACUAAACCAGGGAUUCCACAGACCCGCUGCAGUUUCCCACGCUCCCCAUAGUGUACAGUGAAUAUGAAGCACUAUAUUUUUCCAAGGAUGAUACAUUCUGGAAUAAACACGGCAAGAGCAAGAAGAGUCUCUGGCACCUCACUACUGCAAUUCACACACCUUGAGGACUAGUGGCAAUCUGUUGUCUCUCCUGAUUAACAGCUGGCGAUGAUCAGAUCAUUUACUAGACCUAAAGACAGAUUGUGGGAUGUUUUAUCAUUAUGCUGCCACCUCUGAAAGGUACCAAGAUAAGCACUUGCUUAUCUAUAACCCUGUAAUUAAAUAGCUGUAACAAAGUAUGGAGAUACCUGCUUGAUUUUCCAAAUGUCUCAUCAGUCCAAUGGGAAGAAUAAGGAAGCAGAGCAAGGAGUUUAAUUAAACUGAUGGAAAGUAUGUACUCAGCUCUGCAGAGAUUGUUUGGGAGACAAAAUCAAGGAAAGAAGCGCUCAGUGCCAUUAGAGACCUGGGUUUUAUCUUUGCUUUGUUUGUAACCUCAGAAACAUGGGAGGACUACUUGCUGUGUAGGUUUGUAAAUCUGAUAAUGUUAAUGUUUUAUUUCAUAACAAAAAUGGAGGCAUGGUAGAGAUAGACUUGAGGAGUGACUUCACGCUUAGCAAAGCUUGUUAUUUAAAUGUCGGUCUCUUGGAGGAGGUUCCUGUGCCAACAAUUUUCUUCAAAGGUUAGACACUAUGAAAGUGGGUGAACACACACCCACUUGUUACUCAGUCAACCUUACACCUCCAUAAAACAGAGCAAAAAGCUUGCGAAAAUGCCGUAACAAGCAGAGCACACAGCUGAGAAAUGGCAACAAUGACAUUUUAUUUAAAACCAGAUUAAAAAACCAAACAGUCACAAAAGAGUUGCUGCACUUCUGUGCAGCGUGCCACACCUAGAAGACUAAACAACAAUAUUCUCAUCUAUACCUAUUUAUUCAAGGUAGGGACCUGACCUUUCCAGGCUCACUUUUUUCAGCAAACUUGACUCAUGCUACUCAUGACUGCUCAUAUUUAUAAGACUCGCAAGUUUGGAACAUCAAAUAAUUGUUGAUAAUAUAAAGAAAAUGUGAUAGGAGGAAUAAUACUGUUUCGUAUUAUGUAACUAUAUUUUUUUUAAGACUCUGAGAAAUCACUUCAAUUAUUUUGAUCAUUUUCCCGUCAAAGGUAUGUUUUUUAAUUGGCCACUGUACUUCCACAGAUAUGAAGCUUUUCUGUGAUCUUUGUGACAAAUCUUAAUGAAUGUAUUAAACCAGGUACUAUCCUUCUACCAAAUAAUAUUAUUGUAACUAUUUUGUUCCAGGUUUGUCAACAUCCACUUAAUAAUUCUCGGAGGAAAUGCCAACCCUGCAGGUUGAGUAACAAAUCCAGAUUGCUUCAGGGGUUGGGUGGCUUCCAUCUUGUCACUUGACCCCAAAAUGACACUGUGGCCUGACCUAUAAUAUGAGGACAAUAAAGUCUAUUCACCUUUGUAAACACUGGUGCAACAUAUGGUCUAACAGCAGUAUGCAAAUUUAAAAUCUUAAUUAAACUGAGGCAGAAUGCCAAGUAAUCACAAAGCAUACAGUACUUGAAACAAGCUCAUUAAUACCUUUGGUGUUGGAACCAGUUUUUAAUGGCUCAGUAAUGAGCUGACAGUGCUAUCUGCAAAACCAUGGUUCUUAAUAAUUUUUUAAAGUAUGUAAUUAUAUUGCAAUAAUUGCUUGAACUUGUAUGUGCACAUGUAACAAAAAAGAUACCUCCAAACAGUUAAUAGCGUAAGACUUAAAAUCUGUUCUUACUUAUUUUAAUUUGUAUUAGUAUAGCUCUGCAGUCAGCUGUGUUAUAAAAAAGAAAUGAGGAUACUCUGACUUUUCUGUUGGUACCCAGCACUGUAGUGGCACUUCAGUUGUAUGUUUGAUGUGUUGCUUUUGGGUCCAUCAACCAAAACCAUCGUACAACCAAUCCAUGUCUCUGACUUUCUUCCCUUGAGUGCUACAGCCACCCAGUACUCCUAGCAGAUGGACAGCUUCAUUUUCGACAGGAUGCAUCUGCAGGUCUCCUGUUGAGCAAACAGUCCAGCUGGAAUUUGCUGUCUGCUCUUACCUGAAGACUUCACCAGACUUAAGAGCCCAAUGCUCUCCCCACAGCUUUGACUUCUCACAACGGCUACCUACAACAGGGAAAAUGAAACUGUGAGGCCUAAGAGUUCAGGAGAUGCACAUUGCAUUUUAAAUUAAGUUCUGCACUGAAAGAGAAGGACUCCUUCCAGGGCUGUGUCCCAAAUCUACACUGAAUCCAAUACAGUGAAACUCCACCCUGGCUGCAGUUCCCCACUGCUACUGCAGCAGAAGCAACCACAAUUAUCAUAAUUGAAUACAAAAUGUAUAUAUUUUGACCGCACUUCAAUUAUUUUCUGCAUCUGUAAUCACAGUGGAUUCAUAGACAAAACCUAAAAACCUAUAAUCUAAAUGAAGGAACCACUCCUUCACAGGGGAAGACUGUAUGUUUUUAAAUUGUCAACAAGAUGUUUAUAUGCUAUUUUCAGUGAAAGAAGGUUAUUAAUUUCUCAUAAAGACUAAAUACUAAAGAAGACUUUACUGAACAUACCAACAGUGGACCAUCUUUGAGACUAUUUAUGAAGGAAAUGUUCAAUGCAUAAAAAAUGAGAGCAAAAAUAGUCACAAUGACAACAUCUCUGCAAGCAAAACCUUUUCCUCACCUUCAGUGUGGGUUUAGCAAAGUACCAGGGACACCGCUCAUUUGUUUUCUGUUGUUUGCAGAGAUGUCAGCCUGAAGUUAUUUCGGUUAUUACACCUGCCAGUGACACUCUACCGCCAAUGGCUGUGGUAUUACGAGGAAGUUGGCUCUUCUGUUUGCUCAGCAAAACGCUUCACCAACCCAACUCCUCCUGUGCCACCCUUCCAGAGUUUGAAGAAGAAGAUAUUUUAAUCUUUGCAGUGCUUUUAAUUUUAAUUUACUGGGAAGCAAAACAUUCUUCCGUGCCUCGUGCUUUCAUGUUUAUGGGUGAAUGAUUCUUACAGAGAAAAUAUUCAAGCAGCAACUCUUUCUGCUCCUACUAGAAACAUGAAGCUACAGGCCUUCCAUUUGAAGCAGAGCACCCCCCCUGCAUACGCCUGGGCCCUGGGGCAAGGGGUGAGCCGCAGCUAUACAAAAAUCCCCUUAUCUUGAAGACCAAAAAGAAGAUAACAGUGGCGGGCGCUGUCUGUUAGUAUCAGGGAGGUAAACACGGUUCAGAAGGUCACGGACCCAUCCUCCCAGGUGGAACUCACAACCCCAGAGCAGGACCUCUGUGUGCCUGUGUAGUACAUCCAAGGAAUGCGACUAACUCAUGCCCCUUGUGUGCCUUGCAUGUCCCAAUGUGCACCCACCCAGACGCCACCCUUGGUUUUCCACUUGGAUUCUCCUGCAUUCAUGCUUUCGCCCGUGCAGUGCCAAACUAAAGAACAUGGUGCAUAUUCAUUCAGUGACACAGAAA